CCUAAUUUAUGACAUUAUGGUCUGUCCUCCCUCCUCGACUGUAAGCUCCAUGAGGUCAGAGACUUGGCAUUGUUCACUGCUGGGAAGAAAGAAGGAAGGGAAGGAGAACAACUUCCAGUAAAAGAAGACACUGAUGAUCAAAUGAUAUGUGUGAGCAGUUGCAGAUUUUUGCAAAAGGGAGGCUGCAUAAAUUCAAGCUGUUCCAGCCUUCUUCAGCAGAUGACUCAUCCCAAUGUCCAGAGGAAAAAGAGACCAGGGGUUUGAAACCAUAAAAUGAUAAAUCUCAUCACUCAUCCUUCUUCUCCUGGGUUUCAGAGAAAAUAGUGUUCAUCUUCUUGACCUAACCCAAUCCCUCUACAAGCUCUUUAAACUUUAUUAAUUUACAGUGAGAAAUAUUACUACAAAACACGCAGGAAUGCUCAUAUUAGCUCUUCAAUGGACUCUCUCCUUGAAAGACAGUAACAUGGUAAAUGCUAACUGAAGGUUUCCUUGUGGGAAAGGACCUACCUUUGCAGGGGUGUGAAUUGGAUGAUCUUAAUGGCCGGGGCAUGGAGUGUGACAGGGUGAAGAUCCAGGGCUGCUACAGGGGGUACAUCCACCAGGACCCCUUUCCUGAAAGAUUCCAGAUCUAGAGAAAUUUACUGG